rnacentral:rRNA from 1 species
AACGAACGCUGGCGGCAUGCCUAACACAUGCAAGUCGAACGAGACCUUCGGGUCUAGUGGCGCACGGGUGCGUAACGCGUGGGAACCUGCCCUUAGGUUCGGAAUAACUCCCCGAAAGGGGUGCUAAUACCGGAUAAUGUCUUCGGACCAAAGAUUUAUCGCCUUUGGAUGGGCCCGCGUUGGAUUAGCUAGUUGGUAGGGUAAAAGCCUACCAAGGCGACGAUCCAUAGCCGGUCUGAGAGGAUGAUCAGCCACACUGGGACUGAGACACGGCCCAGAAUCCUACGGGAGGCAGCAGUGGGGAAUAUUGGACAAUGGGCGAAAGCCUGAUCCAGCAAUGCCGCGUGAGUGAUGAAGGCCUUAGGGUUGUAAAGCUCUUUUACCCGGGAUGAUAAUGACAGUACCGGGAGAAUAAGCUCCGGCUAACUCCGUG